rnacentral:rRNA from 1 species
GACGAACGCUGGCGGUGUGCUUAACACAUGCAAGUGGUGCGACGAACCAGAGCUUGCUCUGGGGCAAAGCCGCGAACGGGUGAGUAACACGUGGGUAAUCUACCCCGAUGACCGGGACAACCCGAGGAAACUCGGGCUAAUACCGGAUGUGGUGCGGAGACAUAAGUCUCUUCACUAAAGGUAGCUUCGGCUUCCGCAUUGGGAGGGGCCCGCGGCCCAUUAGCUUGUUGGUGGGGUCAAGGCCUACCAAGGCAACGAUGGGUAGCUGGUCUGAGAGGACGAUCAGCCACACUGGGACUGAGACACGGCCCAGACUCCUACGGGAGGCAGCAGUGGGGAAUCUUGCGCAAAGCGCGAAAGCGUGACGCAGCAACACCGCGUGAGGGAAGAAGGCCUUAGGGUUGUAAACCUCUUUCAGAUGGGACGAAGGUUCUCCGGUGAAUAGCCGAGAGGAUUGACGGUACCGUCAGAAGAAGCUCCGGCUAACUACGUG